GGGUGUAAGUUGAUGUUUUUAUUAUAAAUCAUGGGAAACAAAGAAAUAACCCAUUCACCGCUCUCAUCACUUGGGCACACCACCCGCUCAGCAUUUUGAUGUUAAAAUACAUUUUAAAGGUUCUUUUCCUUCUUUCACAGAGGAAAUAAUAGAGGAAAUGGCUUAAACUGAGGCCAGAAGCAUUAUGGUGGAUGUGAGUAAAUCUCUGCAUUAUUAAGAGAGAUUAAAAAUUGGGAUGGGUACCUUAUUGAGGUCCUGAAAUCUAUACUUGAAAACCUUAAAGCAUCAGAGAGCUGCCAUUUUCCGUGAUUUCGGUAAAAAGCAGCUCAGGUUAUCCUUCCUUUGAGGCCAUUCUAGGGGGUCCCACAAAUCUUUUUAAGCAAAAUAAAAAUAUUAAUAAUUAUUAAAGUUGUUUUCACAUUGUUGAGGUAUAUUGCAUUAAGAAUGGAAUUUGUUUUUCCAUCAUAAAAGUAGCACAUACUAAUUCUAGGUUUUGAAAAUACAAAUAUAAAAAAGAAAAAAUAUUACCCAUAGCUACUACCUUAAUCUAAAUGUUCUAUGUUUUGCGGUUGAAAUGAAAAAGAAUUUUUUUCAAUUAAAAAGUGUAAUAUGGGCCGGGCGUGGUGGCUCAUGCCUAUAAUCCCAGCACUUUGGGAGGCUGAGGCAGGCAGAUCACUUGAAGUCUGGAGUUUGAGACCAGCCUGGCCAAACAUGGAGAAACCCUGUCUCUACUAAAAAUACAGAAAUUAACCUGGUGUUGUGGCACAUGCCUGUUAUCCCACCAACUGAGGUAGGAAGAUUGCUUGAACCUGGGAGGCAGAGGUUGCUAUAAGCCAAGAUCAUGCCACUGCACUCCACCCUGGAUGACAGAGCAAGACUUUAUCUCAAAAACAAAAGGUAAUAUGUCCAUGGCUCACAACUGUAAUGCCAGCACUUUGGGAGGCCGAGGCAGGAGGAUCACUUGAGGUUAGGAGUUCGAGACUAUCCUGGGCAACAUAGCGAGACCCUGUCUCUACAAAAAAUUUAAAAAAAAAAUUAGCUCGGGGUGGUGGGAUGUGUCUGUGGCCCUACCUACUCCUAGCUACUCAGGAGUCUGAGGUGGGAGGAUGGCUUAAGCCCAGGAGGUCAAGACUGCGGUGAGCCAUGAUCAUGCUACUGCACUCCAGAGUAGCUGGGACUAUAGGCACAUGCUGCCACGCCCAGCUGAAGUCAUGCUCUCUAUCCAUGAGCAUCUUUAUAACUUGCAUAGAUAUAUUUGGGUGAAAUCCUGUCUUGGUCUUUCCCGAUUCUCCCUGAGCAGGUUCCAAACAUUGUUUAGGGCUCAAAGGGAAAUUAGUCUUCAGAGUUUCUCCAGUAAAGUAAUUACGGAGAUCGGGUCAUUUAUUCAACAGAUUGGGUGCCUACCAUGUGCCAAGACUGUGCCAGGCACUGGGGAUAUGAUGAUGAAACCAAAGAUGCUAGCAUGAACACAAUCACUAAACCAAAGUCACACAAAUAAAUUAAAUGUGGGAGGGACAAGGAGAGCUAUACAUGUACUGAUCAUCUGCUAUGCUGGAAGUUUAUUUAGCAAAUGUAAUCUUAUUUAAUCAUCUGGACCCAAGGGAGGUAAUCUGACCUCUCUGAAUCUCAGCUUCAUGUGAAAACGGGGAUAAUAUUAUUGAGAGAGAACAUUUGUUACAGGGGCAAACCCUGUUCCAAGGUUUCUUUCACUCAAAGUAUAAACAAUGAGGCACUUUUUACACUUUAGACACUAAAACUUUUUGGAGGCAAAGAGGGCUGGUAUUUAGUGAGUAUCUGCUAUGUGCUAGGCACUUUACAGAGAUCUCAUUUAAUCUCAGUUCCAUUCUUUGAAUUUGCUAUGUACCCUGCUGUCCAAAUGACGGCACUGAGUCAGUGAGAGGUUUCAUAACUUGCCCAAGGCCACAGAACUGGAUGGAGAAAGACUGCAGAGAUUCAAACCCAGGCCUGCUGACAUGCAGAGCCAAUGAGAAUAUAUUAUCUUGCAGUGCAGUUUAUGGGAUAUAUGUGUCCCUUUGGGAAUUCCUGGGUGUCUGCUGGUGGCCUGUUAACUUGGUUCUUGAAUAUGCACUUUGCUUAUAACUGUGCAGUUUGAAAAGUGACUCAUCCCCAAACUAGGCAGGGUUGAGUGUCUGUCCUGUUUAUCUUCCACAUGCCACCUGCACUAACUUCUGAAGAUAAUCUAUAAUAAAAGCACUGUGAUUAAAAAACAGAAAAACACACACCAAAAAUGUAUAGGUUUGUCUGUUGGUGCUUCUGACAAGAAAAUAAACUCAUGAAUCUCAUUAACUUUAAAAAAAUCACAUCUACUUAAGGUUUAAUGACUAAAGCCAACUUUCUAACAUAUCUGUACCGUUCUCUGAACAUACUGUUUUCACACUUAACUACGAUGUUGUCACUUGUUUCUGUCUGAUUCUGCAAGGGCAGAGACCUUGAAAUAUUCAAAUCUGGAUUCCCCCAUGGUUUGACCCAGCUGAAGUCAGGCAGUGUUCGCUGAAAGAAAUAAAGGUGUUUCCAUAAUGCCUGUAUUAGCUUUCUUUUGGGGCUGUAAGAAGUUACCACAGAUUUAGUGUCAUAAAACAAUAUUCAUUUCUGUUUCACGCUUCUUGUGGGCCCGACGUCUGGAUUCCAUGGCUCAGCUGAUUCUCUGCUUCCAGUCUCACGAGGCUGAAAUCAAGGUGUCUAUAUUCCUUUCUAGAGAGUUGGGGAGGGGGUAUAAUCUGUUCCCAAGUUCAUUCAGCUUGUCAGAAUUCAGCUCUGUGAGGUUGUAGGACUGAAGUCCCCAUUUCCUUGCUGGCUCUUGGCAGGACUUCCUCUGAGCUUUUGGAGGCUGCCUGGAUUCCCUGGCUUGUGGCCACUUUCAAAGCCAGUAACAGUGGGUUGAAUUCCUCUCAUACUUUGAAUUUAAUUCCUCUGCCUCAUCUCUCCAAAACAUCUCUUUUGCCUCCCUUUUGUGCUUUUAAGGGUUCAUGUGAUUACACUGGGCUCACCCAUAUAAUACGGAAUCAUCUAAUUUUAAGGGCUUUAUUUCCAUUGGCAAAAUAUCUUUUGCCAAAGAAUGCUGGCUGGUAAUCCCAGCACUUUGGGAGGCCGAGAUGGGUGGAUCACCUGAGGUCAGGAGUUCAAGACCAGCCUGGCCAACAUGGAGAAACCCAGUCACUACUAAAGAUACAAAAAUUAGCUGGGCAUGGUAGCGCAUGCCUGUAAUCUCAGCUACUUGGGAGGCUGAGGCAGGAGGAUCGCAUGAACCCAGGAGGCGGAGGUUGCAGUUAGCCAAGAUCACGCCACUGCACUCCAGCCUGGGUAACACAGCGAGACUCUGUCUCAAAAAAUAAAUAAAUAAAUAAAUAAAAAAGCAACAUAUUCACAGGUUCCAGGGACUAGGACUUGGACAGUUUUGGGCAAGCGGGGAAGACAUUAUUCUGUCUACCACAGUACCUGUAUUAAACAUGUAAAUUUCAGUUAUUCCCUGUAGGUCAGAGGGCAGUAAAGCUACUUCAGAAGACAUCGGAAAGAAGCCAAAUGACUUGCCAAAGAGUACUGUAUCAGCCGUAGAUUGAAAAAAAAGAAGUUAAAAAUCCUUUGUAAAAAAUCAAGGCAAACAGUUUUUUGAGGGACAGUAGUUCCUCCUUUCUCUCAGGGUAAAGCUAGAGAGAUUUUUAAGAGGUGUCUUAUUCUAACUUGCAGUCUUUUCCCUUUGUAGGAUUUUGCUUACCGGACUCACAAGUUUUCUGUGACCAGUAUUAGAAGCAGAAAACACUGAACCCCUUGGCGUUAGAGUUUGGGCUACACCAUAAUGGUCUCCUAUCAAUACUGGCUCUCGCUACGUGUUAACAUUAGGGAGUGGAGAGUGUGUUUCCUCACCCAGGGAAACCGUUUAAAUGUGGCCACUGAUCCUGCCUUCAUAGUUUUUAAGAGCUGGCAUCAAUCCAACUCCGGACGGACUCUAGAAAUGUUUCUGGACAACGACUGAACCUAUAGUUACAGAAAACCUAUGUGCUGGGCGCUCUGAAUUUCAUUUCAGGUUCUAAAACUAAGGCUCAGAGAGGCUAAGUAUAUUGCCUAUUGUUUCUCAGCUGGUAAUAACAGCUACCAUUUAUUAAACAUUUGCUCUAUGCCAGGCGCCAUAUCAUACGGACCUGAUAAUGUCAAGAUCUCCCUUCACAUCCUCUUCCAAUCUGUCAAGAAUUGUAUGUUAAUUUUAAUUCCAAUAAUGCCAUGAAAUACAAGACAAAUGCAGAUCAGAAAACUGAGGCUCAGAGAGGUUGAGUGGACAGCCAGGGAGUGACUCAGCCAAGAUUCCAGUCUAGGUCCGCUGGACUCCAGGGCCUGAAUUCUCUCCAGGGUACUGCCUCUAAAAACGCCCUCAGGUGCAUUCUGGUCAGUAUGGCCCCAGAGUCCAAGUUCUUUACACGACCCGUCAACAUAUCACCAAGUUCCUAAGAACGCUCUAGGCUGCUGGUGCAGGCUCUGCAAAUACACAGCGGCCUGAAAGCACAGGAAGAAAUGAAGAACCGUCUAAGUCCAUCAGCCGUGGAAUAACCGUUUUACUGGUAUGAGGGUCUUUUUGUCUCAUUAUUAUGUGGCAGUGAGUCAUUUAGAGGUGACCAAAAGGGAAAGUCCUGCCUCUCGUCCCCUACGAGAAGUGUAGGUAAGAACCGUUUAGGCGAGGAGAAGCACGAAGUGGGAACUGCGAGUCGAGCUCCCCAUCCUCACUCCCCACCCGCACCCGCCAGGAGGUCCUGAAGCAAAAAGCACCGAAGGGGUUAAGGGUGGCCGGGGGAGCCCAGCCACCGCCCCUUCCCAGCAUCGCCUCCCAGAAUCCCGCAGGCCCCCAGCCAGUUCUCGCACCUCGCGAGACUCCACCCAGCCCCUUCCCCGAACAGCGACCCGUCCCCGUUCCUAGCUGAGGUCGGUGCUAGGCGGAGGACGCGAGAGGGAGAGCGGAAGGGGGCCGCCGGGCACGCC
rnacentral:lncRNA from 1 species